rnacentral:lncRNA from 1 species
AGAUUGUUGUGUAGAAUGUAAUGCUGCAUUGGUUGCUGAACAUUUCACUGAGGGCGAAAUGUAUGAAAAUGCCAAUAUCUAUGUGCGCAAGAUUACUGUAGAACACAGUACGGAUGAUAUACAAGCUAUUCUCGAGGUACAGUACACGGGCCUUAAGCCGGUUUUCCACUUCGCCCGUAUCGUACCGAAACGUACUGGUGAGGAUGCGCAGAUUUAAAACAGGUUUAUAAAUCCACGUACUUCCGGGUGUAUUCGCGUAUCAAAAUAAAACGUUCGUCGCAAGUCAACUUUUUGGCGUACUACGGAAGUACUAACCAAUCAACAUUCACGAAAUUUUAAAACGUUUUUGAUACGUUUCGGUACGGUACGCUUGAAGUGGAAAACCGGCUUUAUACGUCGUUGCUCAGUGGCGAAGCUAGCCAUAGCACCAGGUCAUGCUAUGCAAAUUUUUAAUGAUUUGCAUGAUUCAAACUUUUAGAAAUGUCUUUAACCUAUUUAGAUGCAGGUCAUUAGCAUAGCAUGACCAGUUGCCAUGGUACAGUACAGUACAGUACAGUACAGUACAGUACAGUACAGUACAGCAUGUUAACGCAGUUGAUUCGUUUUGACAUGUUUGUUACAGAGCUACAGUCCUGUGGAAAAUAGCAAUGAAGAAACCGGUCAGCUUUGCGACAAGUCAAUUCAGGUUUGGAUUUGUAUAUAAUCUAUCCAGUACAGAUUUGUCGACCCGAUUCAUCUAACCUUUAUGGUUAUUUCAGGAAGAUAGUAUACCCAUAACCCAUGCACAUAAUUAUAGAAUGAAAAAAAGUGAAUUAAUGAACUAUGUAAUACCUGUAACAAAUCAAAUUCUUCAGGGAUGAGUAUACUGGCAAUUUCCUUAUACAAAUUAUUUUUUAUUCAGAAGCUAGGCAACUUCAAAAACAAAAAUAAAAUAGAGAUAAAAAUGAGAUAGUAACAUGACUCUGAAAUUGUCAAGCAAGACUACAGACUACUGCCUUGCUUCGACGGUCGUUCCCUGGACGAUGGCCAAAGCUCCACGGGCACCUCCGCCCCCUCCCCCGUUUACCAGAUCUACCUUAGCCUGUGUCCCAGUCCACUUCACCGUAGUGCUAGAUCUACCUGGGUCCAUCUCUGCAAUUCUUGUUUUGGAUAAGGUACUAACGUAUCGAUCACAGCACUUGUUUGUAUUAAUGUUACUUUAAAUUUCACUUAGUUUAUUGCAGGCAACACUCCAAGAACGGCAGGUGAUUACAGACGGCGGAGUUCGAG